rnacentral:rRNA from 1 species
UACGUAGGGGGCAAGCGUUGUCCGGAUUCACUGGGUUUAAAGGGUGCGUAGGUGGGCAGGUAAGUCAGUGGUGAAAUCUCCGGGCUUAACCCGGAAACUGCCGUUGAUACUAUUUGUCUUGAAUAUAGUGGAGGUGAGCGGAAUAUGUCAUGUAGCGGUGAAAUGCUUAGAUAUGACAUAGAACAUCGAUUGCGAAGGCAGCUCGCUACACUAUUAUUGACACUGAGGCACGAAAGCGUGGGGAUCAAACAGG